AUGUCUGACCCAAUCUCCCACAUUCAGGGUAACUUGUCAUCUGUCUCCUGGGAGUGUGGUCCAGCCGCAGGGCUACCCAUAGCUCCUCCUACACCUGUUUAUUACCAUGUCCUAUACCGAGGAUGUGGAGAAACCCAGGUGGGCUGGCAUGGGGAGACCUACUGCCUGGUUGGCGGCUACCGGGCCUUUGGGGAUGUUUCCAUCACCACCCCAACAAAGGCCAGAGAAGAGAAGCCACCAUCCAGGUGGCCCUAUGGGGAUGCUUCCAUUGUUACCCCAGCAAAGGCUGAAGCUGAGAAUCCAGCAUCUAAGCGGGUCUAUAUGGAUGCUUCUAUUAUCACUCCAGCAAAGACUGAAGCACAGAAGCCAGUGUAUGUGCGGAUGCCCAAGAAACCUUGAGUUGUGGCAGAGUCUAUCUACUCCAGUGAAAAUAAAUCACUGCUUCACACAGGUUGGCUGGCUGGCUGUUUUUCUUUUUCUGAUUUGAAGGAAUUAUUUUGAUGUAGAGGUCAUAAUAAUCCUUCAUACUCAUGAAUGAGCCUGAACUUUGUUCAGUUUAUAUUUCUUUAGUGAUGUUUGGGAAAGUGAAGAGAAUGAUUGGACAGAGCCUAUACCCCUCCGGGCAAGGUUAUACAGUACAAUUUGCUGAUCUGAUUUUUUUUAAUCUAUUUGCAGGGAAUAAUGUUUUGCUCCAAGAAAGGCUAGUCACUACAUAAGGCCUUCUUUCUUUUUUCUGACUUUUUGAGUUCAGGCUGGCCUCAAACUCACUACAUAGCCUAGGCUGGCCUCAAACUCACUGCAAUCUUUCUACCUUAGCCUCCCUAGUGCCGGGCUUACAGGUAUGCACCACUACGCCUGGCAUAAGGCUUUCUAAGGAUGUCAGAACGUGACAUUUGGAAAUGACCAUCAUGGCACUUCUGGGAAUGCUGGAGAGUAGACAAUUUUGUUGUGUAAUACACUCAAACCUUUACCUCUGCCAGGUUACUGAGGGUGGACAUUGCAUAAACUCUGCUACUUGGGCUCUGAUCAUCUACAAAGAUUCUAGGACAAGCAAUAUUGAUAUCAACGCCAAUUCUGAUGAAGCAUUUCUCCUAUUUUCUUUUAAGAGAAACAAUGGAUAAACUCUCUCCACCAACUUGCCACUCGUUGGUUACUCAUUAUAUUCCAUCAUAGAGUUAAGAUACAUGAAGAUGUUGGAGUGAUGAACAGCAGAGAAGAGCCUCUCAGAGAUUUGGUGUCCAGAUGCUGGACUGUAGCAACAAGAGGAAGAAAAGAAGGAAGGAAGUGGGUCCUCGAGACCCAGCAGUGAUUGAUGCAAGAAUUGAAGUCCAUGGGGAGAGUGAAGAGAGAAACUUCAAUGAAGAAGAACGAGGUGGGAAGUGGCACUUUCUCUCUGAGCCCUGACUCACUGUGUGGAAGGAGUGGCUUGAACCUGCAGACUCAUGGUGACUGCUGGUAACCUCAGAGGCCUCCACAGAGAAUUGCAGUAGUGGAGUGAACAGUGGGUGCAGUGGACCGCCAUAGCUGGUGCAUUAUUUAGGUUCAAACAUCCUCUAGGAGAGGGAGAUUGGCCAGUAGCCAUCUUGGAGAGGGGCCAACUGAGCUCUGAAUUCAGAGCAGCUGUGGGCUGGUUCCAUCUAGCUGCUCCUAGAGUCAGGACGAGGCAGAACUGAGUUCAAAUUGGCAGGAGGUCAAGAAGCCAAAUUCAAGCCAGCAGGAGGCACAAGGACUGUUGCAGGCUGAACAAAGCAGGUUCUAGCCUCCCAGCUAGAAACCAGCCUGAACUUCAGUGGAACUAAGGGUGCAGGCCUGCUGAGAUUACACAUGACCCCACUAUAAAUCUAUGGUUCACGUGGAAGGAUUAAUCAACACAGAUCUGGACUCUGCCUACUUUGUCUACAGUGACAGCAGAGACAUGCCUUGAUGUGGUUAUUUUCCUUUUUUCUUUCUUUCUUUCUUCUUUCUUUUUUUUUUUUUUUUUGAGGCAGAGUCUCACUCUGUAGUCCAGGGUGGCUUUGAACUCACUAUGUAGCCCAGGUUGGCCUCAAACUCGCAGUAGUCCUCCUUCCUCAGCCUCCUGAGUGCUGGGAUGACAGGCAUGCACCACCAGGCCUGGCUGACAUUAUUUUUCUUAUUUUUUUCUCUCUUGUUUUUGCUUUAUUUUAUUUUUUCUUGUUUGCUCUUGUUUUUAUAUGAGUGUGAACAUUUUUUCUAGUUUUUUGGUUGUUCUAUUCAGUUCUUGUUUUUAUUUUUUCCUUCUCUCUUUCCCUCUUGUCUUCUGCAACAGUUUCUCAAAGUUUGCAUGGUCUUCCUUUGUCUUCCAGCCUUGCUUCUAAUCUCUUCCUUUUCUUAUAUUUCUCUAUUUUUUUCCCUUAGCCCCUUUUAAAUUUUCUUCCAUGAGGGUAAAAUCACCAUACUAGACCAAGACCCUAGCAUUGCUGCUAGAGGCAUUCCCCAGCCCCAUGCCACUUGGCAGGGAUGCACUGGAUUUCUGUAUUUUAAGAACUGUCACUGAAGCACAGGAAGAUCUGGGACUCAGUAACUGGCUCUGCUGGAGGAAUCCAGGUGCUUGGCCACUCCUACUACACCAUAGGAUCUGUCAACCAGCACUUUUUCUGAAUUUUUUUCUUUUACUUUCUUUUUUCUUCUUUCUUUCUUUCUUUCUUUCUUUCUUCCUUCCUUUUUUCUUUUUUCCCCCUCCCUUUUCUAAAUGGCUAGGGAGAACUCCAGCCACAAAAAAUUAAUCACAUCCACAAACACAGAGACCAACUUCAGAUGAUCUCUCAAAUACUCCUUCAUCCUUUCUUUUCUACUCACUUCUCUAGUUUCCCAAACCCUGCAUGACCAUCCUUGUCCUCCAGCCUUGCUUCUACUUCCUCCUCAGUUACCUUUGUUUUAUAAAUUAUCCUCCCUAGAUUUCCCCACCGCAGGGUAAAACCUCUCAAAAUACUUUGCAUACAAACUCCUAAUUUGUAAUUGGUUCUGUUAUAUAACUAUAGACUUUGCUCCUAUGGUCUAAAGUUCAAAAUAUUUACCACAGUUUGCCAGUUUCUAAAUUGUUAUUGCUAAUUUUACCAGUUUAGCUAGGAUAUCAUAUCUGUUGUAAUCAGUUGUUCUCCCUUCUGUAACAAUACUGGGAAGCUCUGGGGUAAUAACCUCACCACAGCCCUACACCAAAGGACUGGAGACUAAGCCAAACAGAUACCAACAACCCACUCUUAAUUUAUUGAGAAGGUAGGAUCUUGGGACAGACACAAACCAAGAAUCUCCUACACACAGAAGAUACCCCUGAGGAACAGACUUUUGCUAGAGAGGCCUUGAUACUAGUGAUAUAGCUACCUAUUACAAAAACUCACAUGGUGAUCCACACAGAAAAUGAAAUAAAACUUUUUUUAAAAUAGAAAAUGACAAAACAAAGAGCAAAAUCUCAGACUCAGCCCACACAGAACAAGUCCAGAAGACAUCAACAUAAAAGAAAUUGAAACACAUACACCUGAAAUUUCUGAAAUAAUAGCAACUGAAAUAAAGAAACAAAUCCAUGAGGCUAUAGAGUAAAUCAGAUCAAAAAUAAUCUCUCAGGCAAAAAAAGAAAUGCCAAUAUUUAUAAAGGAAUUGCUCAGAAAAUCUAGAGUAGAGAUAGAUAAAAAAUCGGGAUGAUAUAAAAGGAUGGAUACCAUGAAU
rnacentral:lncRNA from 1 species